rnacentral:ncRNA from 2 species
CAAUAAAAUAGAGGUGCGAUCAUCACAAACACUGUUGAGCCGGUAUUGGCGCAGAAACAGUCUUAAGGGUCUUCGCCGAAACGCGGAUCGUAAUACUGCGAUCUGUUGUUGGGACAUGCGGAAAUACUGCAUGGACUGUCCUGACCAAGUCAGGGAGUGCUAUCAAUUGG